UGGCUAUCUGGUGGAUCCGCAGACCUCGGACACCGUGCAGAGCGUUCUGAAAUCUCAGGCCUCGCUGCGCUCGAUCGCUUCUGUCGUGAAUGUCGAGGCGACAUCCUACGAUGUGCUGGUCGAUCACACGGAAGUCGGCACCGGCUGGGCGAGCGAGACCGGUUCGAUCACUGAGACCGACACGCCGCAGAUCGACCGCAUCUCGAUCCCGCUGCACGAACUUUCGGCACUGCCCAAAGCCUCGCAGCGGUUGCUCGACGACAGCGCGUUCGAUGUCGAAGGCUGGCUGGCAAGCCGGAUCGCCGACAAGUUUGCCCGCGCCGAGGCCGCGGCCUUCGUUUCCGGCGAUGGGGCUGACAAACCGACCGGCAUUCUGAACCAUGCCUCCGUGGCCGACGCGUCCUGGAGCUGGGGCAACCUUGGCUAUGUCGUGACCGGUGUCGAUGGCGAUUUCAAUUCUGCGGCACCCGCCGACGCCAUCGUCGAUCUCGUCUAUGCGCUGGGCGCCCGCUACCGCGCCAACGGCACCUUCGUGAUGAAUUCGAAGACCGCUGGCGUUGUGCGCAAGAUCAAGGAUGCGGAUGGUCGCUUCCUGUGGUCAGACGGUCUAGCGGCAGGUGAGCCGGCGCGACUGCUCGGCUACCCGGUGCUGGUCCUCGAGGACAUGCCGGACAUCGGGUCGGGCACCUCGGCCAUUGCUUUCGGUGACUUUGCUUCGGGCUACACCGUCGCCGAGCGCCCGGACCUGCGUAUCUUGCGCGAUCCGUUCUCGGCAAAACCGCACGUCCUGUUCUA
rnacentral:rRNA from 1 species